AAAGGAAGUUAUAUUUGCAUCUGAGUCAACAGGACAAGCAAAUUGAGAGAAGGGUGAGGAAGACAGCAUGGCAUCAGCUCACUGGGACCCAAACAGCAGGACAAUGGCAUUUGGUCUCAGAUCUAUUGAGAACCUAUGAGACAGAGAAUGUGAAGCAACAUCGAGUCAUAGCAGUAAAUUUCUGUCUGAGUACAUCCUUUUCUUAAAAUCACAGCAAAAUGUCAGGUUCAUUAAAAUUAACAUCUCCCAC